rnacentral:tRNA from 1 species
GGGCCCGUAGCUCAGCGGUAGAGCAGCCGGCUCAUAACCGGUCGGUCGCAGGUUCGACCCCUGCCGGGCCCA